rnacentral:rRNA from 1 species
GACGUAGGGCGCGAGCGUUGUCCGGAAUUACUGGGCGUAAAGAGCUCGUAGGUGGUUUGUCGCGUUGUUCGUGAAAACUCACAGCUUAACUGUGGGCGUGCGGGCGAUACGGGCAGACUGGAGUACUGCAGGGGGAGACUGGAAUUCCUGGUGUAGCGGUGGAAUGCGCAGAUAUCAGGAGGAACACCGGUGGCGAAGGCGGGUCUCUGGGCAGUAACUGACGCUGAGGAGCGAAAGCGUGGGGAGCGAACAGG